GCUGCAUACAGGUGUUACUUUCUACUACUACACGUGCUGCUGAACCUUGACUGGUCCUGAAGGUCUUACCUCAGACAGACCCCUCUGCUUCCCUAAAUAUCAAAACACCUCUUCCCAAAGGGCUGAACCAGCUUAAAAAGCUGCAAAGGACUCAAGGAAGUGCUGAGCAGCCACCCCAGAAAAACCCAGGAGCACAAUGACCUCCCUGAGCAGAGGCUGGGGCUAAAAUACCCCAGGCCCUGCCCACCACCCUUCCCACAAUCACCUGGGAAAGAGGAAGGGCAAACCACCAGAAGUUAUGAAGUCAGCUGGAGGAGCAGCAGGAGUGUUCUCACCUGCCUCCAAUUUACAGCAAGCAAAGUCCUGAACAGAGAAAGCAACCCUUACUGGAAACAACAAUACCUGCUCUUGUACUACAGCUACACCUGUUGCAUCGUCAACAUGACUGGAUAUGGAAUUAAACUUAAUUCUUCUGGGGCAGAGAUAGAAAAAGAUAGAUGUCCUUCUAAACUGUGUAAGAAACUAGCUCAUUAAAUGCAAUAACAGAGCUGUUAUCAAAA